rnacentral:tRNA from 6 species
UCGCGGGAUGGAGCAGUCUGGUAGCUCGUCGGGCUCAUAACCCGAAGGUCGUUGGUUCAAACCCAGCUCCCGCAAU